UUUCAGGAAAUUCCAGAUCAGAACCCAGCCCCCACACUGCAAGAAGCCCAAGCCAUAUGUAGAGGGCAUGUUACAUUGCUCUGUUCAACAGCCUCAACUGAGCCACACUUAGAUGUGGAAGAUGCCUUAGAAGUGAUUUCUCUAGAAUAGCUGUUAAAGUCCCGGAUCAUUUGAGUCCCAGACAUUGUGAAGCAAGGGAACCAAUCCUGUUGUGUACUUUCUUACCCACUGAUCUGACCGACUGAUUUUGGACGUGGAUGAAUCUGGAGAACGUCAUCCUCAGCAAACUGACACAAGAACAGAAAAUGAAACACCGCAUAUUCUCACUCAUAGAGGCAGGGUCUUGCUAUGUUGUCCAAGCUAGUCUUAAACUCCUGGGCUCAAGUGAUUCUUUGGCCACAACCCCCAAUUCCUGGGAUUAUAGAGGUAGAGUUUCAUUCUUGUUGCCCAGGCUGGAGUGCAAUGGAGUGAUCUCGGCUCACUGCAAACUCUGCCUCCAGGAACAAGCAAUCAUCCUGUUUUAGCCUCCAGAGUAGCUGGGAUAACAGACUACUCAUGAUAUAUACUCAGAUUCUACAAUCAAAUAUACUAUAUGCCAUGAUGUUAUAAGUUACUUCAACUUCAAAUUCAAAGUAAAUUAAAUAUCCCUUUUUAUAUAUCUCUCCAAGUGGUUAGAGUUCUUCUUUUGGUACUUACUGACUUUAUUCAAAUUAGAGUUCUUCUCAGCAAAGUAGCUGAGAAUAUCCAGAUUUUAUUUAUAAAAAGUAUUUCAGAUGUUAUAUUUCUUUUAUAACAUAAAAGUAAUCAAUAAGAGGAUGAGAAGAUUCACUGAAUACUGGAGGGAUUUGAAGGAAAGAUUCUGUUCCAUUCUCACUGCCAGAAGGUCAGAUUCAAUUGGAUGCCACACUUUUGUUUUUGCUGUUGUAACUCUGAAGUGGAAUUCUAAACAGCAAAGGAGACGAAAAAGAUUCACAAGAGUUCAAAAGGUUUUUAUGAAGAA
rnacentral:lncRNA from 1 species